rnacentral:lncRNA from 12 species
UUGGUCUUCGUUGACUGCAGCCCAGCAGCAGGACCGGGGACCCCCGUGAUCCCGGGCGGUCCCAUCCUCCGCGCGGCUGCUACCAGCACCCCCGGUAAAGUACUUCCUCCGUUUCGCCAGCCCCAUCUCGGGUGGCUGAGCGCUUCCGCCGCGCUCCGGGAGCCUCCAUCUCUCCCGGAUCCUUCCGGGUGUUCUCAGGGUGGCCCUCGUCUCCGUGACGCUACUUCUGGCUCGAGUCCUCUUUUAAUUGCUUUUCAGGAAAGAGCACAGAAGGCAGACACUGGAACAGAAACUACGUCGUUUCUCUUCAAAGCGGUGGGCCCUGGGGUCCGCCGCCGCGAAGCCUGCGGCUGCCGGGAAACCCAAACCCGAGUGUCCGAAGACUAACCGGAAGUGCGGUCCUAGGCGGAGGGGCGGUGCCUGCGGCCGCCGGGGAGAGGGAAGCAUUGAGUAUUGUGAAUACUUACAGACUAGAGACUUUUUGAAGCCAAAGGAAGGCCAUCUUCAAUCUUUGUUAAUGAAUGCUGUCUUCCUUGAGAAAUCAAAUUCUUAGGACCAGGAGGUAAAUGCUGCUUUCUUUCCAGUUAGAUUCUAGGAUCCAUUAUCGAAUGAACAGAGAGAAAUGAUCUUGGAGUGUAAGGAAUUCUUGUAUGAUAACUAUGAGGGUCACCUGGAACAGGUAAUUUGGACCAAAAAAUGUAAUUUCUAUGACAGUUUUGUUGAUCACGGUGACAUGAUAGAAUAUUUGAAAUCUAGGAUGUAGAGUUACUGUAUUUAGCAUAAACACACCAUCUCUUGUGUGUAUCCCACCUCCUUCCCUUCUCCGAGCUGUGGACAUCACCGCUCUUUUCAGCCAUGCAUCAGUUUUCUCUCAUACUGUUCCUCUGUAGUGGUUUGAACACUACCUUUCUGUGGACCUCUCUCUGGCUUCUUCAAGAAACUGCUCUACUUCCACCCUGUUCAGUUUUGAGUUGACACCUAAAGCCUUGGUAUUUCUUUUUCUAUUUAUAAAUAACCUUUUUUUUUUUUAAUUAUGACAACCAUCUCUGUGCCUUACGCAUGGAGAGUUUGCAAAUUGCUGAAUGGAAAUUGGGAAACCAAUUAGCAAAUGGAUGAAACAGAAAGUCCCCCAUCUUCUGGAUCCUUUCGCCUCAUUGUUUACUCUGAAUUCUGGUGGCCUGCAUAUUGUUUCCUCUCACAUACACAGGCUCUAGUCCUAUAUGUCACAGUUGAUGAAUGGUGGACCCUGUCCCCAGAAGUAUGUACAUACACCAAAUAACAUUUGCAAUCAGUUUCACAGUUUUUGUGUUUAUUUAGGAGUCCAUAGAUGCUGGAUAAGGACUUCUUUUCUAGCUUUGAGCACCUGCUAUGUGCCAGGUACUAGGGAAACAGCAUUGAAAUGAAAAAAAUCCCUGUCCUUUAGGGGCUGACAUUCUAUGGAGGAAAAUACAACAGUAUAUCAGGAGUGUUAUAUGUGUGGGUCAGCUGGGAUGCAGGUGUAUUACAAUGUAAAGUAGGAUGGCCAGGCAAAGAUUUGAAGGUGAUGAGGGGGAUGGAACCUUGAAGAUCUAGAGGGGAUAGCACUUUAGCGAGGAGACAGCACAGAUCCUGAAGUGGGGGUGACCUGCUAGUUUGAACAGCAGCAGAGAGACAAUGUGACAUGUGCACAGUAGAAGAAAAGCAAGGAGAAGAGUCAGAGUGGUAACCAGGAGGCAGAGUUCUUAGGGGCUUGUUGGUUUCUAACAAGAGCAGUCUGGCAGAGCGAUAAGGGCAAAUGUUAGAUUGGAGGAUGUUCCAGAAACCUUAGAAGACAAGAUUUGGAGGCAAUAAACAGAUUGAUUUCUUUUGAAGAAAUUUGCA